GUCACUUUUGUUUUAAGCCGACUUUGCCGCGGGCUUUGAACGGGGCACCUGGCUCAUGACCGGGAGGCUGCCUACUUCCAAAACAAAUGCAAUCACUUUUAACACGGUGCUAACUCCUCUCACCGGAGUAACCCGGGCCAGAUAAUCGAAUCCCCUCAUUCGUUAAUGACCCGCCUCUCCAUUUUCUCUUUUGCAAAAGCGAUGAACGACCAUUCACAGGUCUCCUUCCUGGAAGGGGCGGAGCAGAAAGAGGAAGGGUCGGAUUCCCAAGAAUCAUUGGCUCUCAGGUGGGUCUGUCGGAAGAGGACCUACAGGCGCUUGGCACGGCUAUCACCAUGGUAAUGCGGGACGGCACAACCAUCUCCCUGCCGACCCAGCAGACGGACACGACCGCCAUGGGACACCGCCACAUUACCAUGGUUACAGGGGAGGCCAAGGCGCUGCAGCAGGUUGCCAUAGUGACGUCGGAGGGUGUUAUGACAGGCGGCUCACUACCAGCAGGUGGCGCUGCUGGCCACGGCUAACGGCACACCGAUUGCUUUUCAGCAGACAUUGGAGGAGGCCAUCAGCAUGGCGACAGCUGUCAUCCAGCAGGAGGGCUGGUUCAGGACGACACCUCAGAGGGGGGCUGGUGACACACACCUACCCCCAAACAGCACCUUUCCCUGGGUACGACACGGAGCCCGCUCCAGAGCACUCCUGGAGCCCAGCCUCCUGUCACAAACACAGUGUGCGGAUCUCAGAACUAAUCAGAGAGAGAAUCCGAGGGCCCGUUGUCAUGGAGACUGGGUUAGAAUGUUCAGAUGUGAGCAUGAGCAGAUCAAUGUUUGUUUGUUUAACCACAAUACAGUAGCAUACUCAUGCUUCUGAGAAGCUGCAGCUCCACGAAAGCUAGCUAAAGUUCAGAUUUCACCUCCAAUCUUUGUAACCACAAUACAAUAAACAUGAUACAAUAACUUUUGGUUUUGUUUUGCAACACUGACUGCAAUGAUUUUUCCAGGGCCAGUACUGUGUACUUCUACUCAUCAAGCUCUAAAACUUGGAAGUUUUGGUUUGGAGAACACUCUCAAACAGAUGGAUUCUUUCACUGAUGAAUCUGCUCUCAGUGAUGCUGUCGGUCU
rnacentral:lncRNA from 1 species